CGAAAAUCCUUGCUCCGCCACUGGUUCAUGUGUCCUGCUACCCAAUCUAGCAAGCGGCAUCCAUUGAUGAAUGGUUUACAAAGGUAGUCCUUAUGAACUAAUUGUUCUACACUUCUUACUUGGUGUAGUUUGUUACAUGGGUCAUGAGUGGGAGCAUAGUUUCCAUUUGGAUAUGUCACCUCAAGGCUGGGAUAGGUUUAUGUGGCACCUGUAUUGUAUUUGUGGACGUAGCAUGUUAGGGGUGGAGUAGUGGAUAGGGAGGUUUGUGUCCCAAAACCACUACCCUUUUCUAGAAAACCAAGAAAAAAGAGGUUACUUUAAGUUUACUUGGCACUUGUAUUUGUGGGUGGCAGGUUACCUAGAGGAUCAAUCAAGGCUCAUAACCCGACAUAGCCUUUUCCGGAUAAAGGAAGUUUAAUUUCAAGGUCAAGGUAGAUUUUGUGAGGGUAUAGUGGUUGUCAUUCUUCCAAAUGUUUAAUCUUUUCGCCACUUAGUUGUGCUGGGAGUCUCUGAGCAAUUCAUUUUUAUAGUUAAUUGGUUUAAUUCUUAUCUGUCUUUUUACCCCAAAUCGAGGGUCCAUUAUUGAGAUAAUACCAUAAUAAUUUUGAUUUUCAGGUGACCCUUGCUCAUCCCAAGGAUAAGCUAACAUAGGCGCAACCCCAAUCAUUAUCAAGUUUUGGAGUGAGCAGCGGUGUUAGGGCAGCUGUAACAAGGAUCUUAAGUGGAAAUGGUAGUAAAACACUUAGUUUUGUUGGAGGAAAUGGUGGAAGUAAGUCUAUUAGUGGCAUAAGUGGUAGGGUUGGAUCAUAAGUCUAUUAGUGGCAUAAGUGGUAGGGUUGGAUCAUUUGGGGUGUCAAGUUCAAGUAAUUUUGCUGGUAAUUCAAACUUUGAUGGCAAAGGAACCUAUUUAGUGUUCAAUGUUGGUGAUGCAAUUUUUGUCAGCGACUUAAAUUCUCGAGAUAAGGACCCUAUAAAGUCUAUACAUUUCAGCAAUUCAAAACCCGUUUGCCAUACAUUUGAUCCAGAUGCAAAGGAAGGACACGACUUGCUCAUUGGGUUAAAUUUUGGAGGUGAUAUUUUUCCUUCUAUUAGUCUAUGUGACAUAUUAUUUACAGCUUCCAGUAGGUUUCAUUUUUCAAUUACAAGGUCUAUUUUUACACUUGUAGUUCAUUCAGUAUCUUUACGGCAACAACUACAAGAUAUUUGGAAGAAGCUAAUUGAGGCACAACAUUACAACAAGGAUGGUGUUGUCAACAACAGGCAGGGCUCUCAAAUAAAACCGUCAUUGUUAUUAUUGUAAAUGGUUAUUUGUUGUUAUCUCGUCUUUUGGGAAAUAAUGUUUAUAGUCCUGGGCUUCCUUGACAUCUCUUUUAGUUGACUUUGAAAUAGAUGAAUAUUUAGUCGGA